AGCCAUUCAGCUUCAGCAUCAACCAUGUUCUUUCUAUCUCUGCUGCUGCUGCUGACAGCUGGAUCCUGUGUGUACUGCAUUGAUCUGAUCCAACCAGACUCUAAAGUUGUGCAGCCUGGACAGUCACUGACCAUUACCUGUCGGCCUUCAGGUUAUUCUGUGUCUGAUAGCAUCUAUGCAACAGGAUGGAUCAGACAUUGUGAAGGAAAACCAAUGGAAUGGAUUUUUCAUAUGUGGGGUGGUGGAGGCUUAACCAAGAAUGAUGCCCUGAAGAACAAGUUCAGCUGCAGCAGAGACACUUCUGCUGGAACAGUAACAAUAACAGGACAGAAUMUGCAGCCUGAAGAUGCAGCUGUUUAUUACUGUGUCAGAUGA